rnacentral:rRNA from 1 species
GAUGAACGCUGGCGGCGUGCCUAAUACAUGCAAGUCGAGCGAACGGACGAGAAGCUUGCUUCUCUGAUGUUAGCGGCGGACGGGUGAGUAACACGUGGAUAACCUACCUAUAAGACUGGGAUAACUUCGGGAAACCGUAGCUAAUACCGGAUAAUAUUUUGAACCGCAUGGUUCAAAAGUGAAAGACGGUCUUGCUGUCACUUAUAGAUGGAUCCGCGCUGCAUUAGCUAGUUGGUAAGGUAACGGCUUACCAAGGCAACGAUGCAUAGCCGACCUGAGAGGGUGGUCGGCCACACUGGAACUGAGACACGGUCCAGACUCCUACGGGAGGCAGCAGUAGGGAAUCUGCCGCAGUGGGCGAAAGCAUGGCGGAGCAGCGCCGCGUGAGAGGUGAAGGUCUUCGGAUCGUAAAACUCUGUUAUUAGGGAAGAACAUAUGUGUAAGUAACUGUGCACAUCUUGACGGUACCUAGUCAGAAAGCCACGGCUAACUACGUG